rnacentral:rRNA from 1 species
UACGGAGGGGGCUAGCGUUGUUCGGAAUUACUGGGCGUAAAGCGCACGUAGGCGGCUUUGUAAGUUAGAGGUGAAAGCCCGGGGCUCAACCCCGGAAUUGCCUUUAAGACUGCAUCGCUAGAAUUGUGGAGAGGUAAGUGGAAUUCCGAGUGUAGAGGUGAAAUUCGUAGAUAUUCGGAAGAACACCAGUGGCGAAGGCGACUUACUGGACACAUAUUGACGCUGAGGUGCGAAAGCGUGGGGAGCAAACAGGG